rnacentral:rRNA from 1 species
GAGCACGUAGGUGGGUUUGUAAGUCAGAUGUGAAAGCCUUCUGUUCAACGGGAGAAUUGCAUCUGAAACUGCUAAUCUUGAGUAUAGGAGGGGAGAAUGGAACUUUUGGUGGAGCGGUGAAAUGCGUAGAUAUCAGAAGGAACGCCGGCGGCGAAAGCGAUUCUCUGGCCUAUUACUGACACUCAGUGUGCGAAAGCUAGGGGAGCAAACGGGAUAGAUACCCCGUAGCCUGCUGU